rnacentral:lncRNA from 1 species
CAGCGGUGGAUUCCAGUAAACUUGUUGUGUAAUCUCUGUGAAAUGAAUCACGAGUAUGGGUGAGCUAAAUGAAUGGGGAGGAUGAGUGUGUGUGUAUGUGUGUGUGUGUGUGAGAGUGUGUGCGUGUGUGCGUGUGUGUGUGUGUGUGUGUGUGUGUGUGUGUGUAUACAUUGGUUUGACAGGAGGUUAGAAGCCAGGGGCCUCUCUCGGUCUCUCUUUAGCAAGUGAGUGAAAUACAGGCCUGGUUGUCAAGGUGACAGGCCCUGACAGCACACUCCAGCUAAGCCGUCGACUGCCUUUCAUUAAAGAAAAUAGAGCGCGCGCACAAAAGACACACACACACACACACACACACACAGGUCUCGAUCUCUUUCUCACCCACUCCCUGCACGCUGCAUUACUUUUCCCUGAAUGCCCAUUCUGUGAUUUUAUCCAAAUUUCUUUGCCAUUUUUUCUUCCAGAUUCUCUUCUUGACUCUGACUCUUGCGUAUGCAUAUGUUCUCACUGCAUGUUCAUACUUGGUGGCAGCUCUUUGCACUCGCAGAUCAACGCCCCUCGUGCUCAGGCAAGUUUGCAACACUCUGAGUGUUGCGUUGGAUCUGCCUUUGUAAAGCAACUGGGUGGUGCGAUAUCAGCGUUUGUCCAGGUGAAGGCCAGGUGUCGACAGACGAGAAGGCCAAGUGAUAAAUCGAACAGCAAAGGGAGGGGGAUAACAGCACAUUCUCACAAAUCAUCCGGGGAAUCUGAGGGUGUCCCAGUCCUGAAGAGGAAUUCUGGGCCCGCUGCCAGAUCCCAGACACAAAGAGACAGAGGAGGAUCAACCGUGUCAUCGUCGACUCUUUCGCUCUGCUUCCUGUUUCUGUCCCUUUGCGUCUUUUUUUGGGCUCAACCUGUAUCUAUUUUUGCCUCUGUCAGUUUUCCCAGGGGAUUACUUUUCCUGGAGUCCACAAAAAAGGUAAUUUAUGAGUCAGACGGAUGAGCAUUUCAGGACAGUCCGCAUGUCUACUAUACAAAAUAUACAAGUAUAUGAAACAUGGAUGCAACAUUAUUCCAAAACACAUUAUUAUUUAUGGAUGGCCGCUUGUGUAUUAAAUCAAACCUGCGGGGCUAUAUUUCAGUCAGGAAGACACAGUCUGUUUUCAAGCAAGUGAACUAUGUGGAGGGAAAAGAGGAGGGGAGAGAGAGAGGAGGCCAAAAGCAGGAAAGUGGAAAGAUGAAAAGGCCGCCGGGGUGGCGAGGGAUGCACAUUAAAAACAUUAAGCAGAGAGAAUUACACUGGCAGAGAACAAGGUCUUUGCAGGAGUGCUCAGGGCGCUUGGUGAAAGAACAAAGGGAAAGCUUGAAGUGUAGGGAAGCCCUCUGUGGAUAAGACUCUGGAUAAGUGUCGGAGACAGGAUCGUAAAUCCCAGACCCCAUAGCCGGCGAGCUGGGGCCAGGGUCAGAGAGGGAGAGCACGGAGAGAAGGGCUGAGGAGAGGUGGGAGGUGAUCAUCCAGAAAGAUAGACUGAAACCAUAACAUAAAAAAACAUCUUUCGCUUAAUACUGAAUCACUGAAAACCAGAUGCAUUGCGCGCUAAAAUGCUUUCCGCGCACAGAGGCGGGACAUGGACGCGGCAACGCGGCAAAUGGCAACAAUGUCAGGGUCGUGACGCAUGGAUCAAAUUAAAGUUCCCUGAGGGCUGUCAUCACCGCCCUGUGUCUCACACCGGGCAUUCCUCACAUUCUGUCCACCUUAGGACAGCAGCUCCGGUGAGUCAUUAGUGAAUCUAAAUACACCGGCGGCACCUAUCGAAUACAGGAAUGGUGGCCGACGUCAUCCCCGCUCCUGUGUUGCAAAUACUUGUCAGAGC